rnacentral:lncRNA from 1 species
UGCAUUCAAUACCUGGUAGAUGGGUUUGGAGUUUGUUUUUCCACUAGGACAAAGAGAGAAAAUGUGGUAUAAUGCAGUUUAUUAAAAGGUAAUGAAGGUUUCGAAGACAUGGGAAAUGUUUUCAUUGGUAACUAUGAUCCCUUUAUUCUGUUCACCAAGUAAAAUCUAUACAGACAUUAGCAGGCUCAAAUCUUUGUCCCACGUCCCUACUCCUGUCUAAACAGCACCUACACAGUAAGUUUCCAGAAGCCCAGUGUGUAGGUGUGCGUGGCUCAUAUCCUGCAACCCAUCCACCUCAGCAGUAAACAGGAGUGGGGCUCCCAGGCACUUCUUACCUUUGGGUUGCCUUCCUUUUGCCUGUGUAUGUAUUCCUUGCAAAAGACAUUCCAGUCCUUGGAGGUAAGAGUUAAGUACAUGAAUGAAGCAACAGCAGUAGCCCACAGCACGAGAUGUCCCAGGAUAAUAAAACAGGAAAUCUUGUGUACUAACAAGUUGUAGUUUAAUAUGUUUUAC